rnacentral:rRNA from 1 species
UACGUAGGGUGCAAGCGUUGUCCGGAAUUAUUGGGCGUAAAGAGCGUGUAGGCGGCCCGAUUAGUCCGCUGUGAAAGUCCAGGGCUCAACCCUGGAAUGCCGGUGGAUACUGUCGGGCUAGAGUCCGGAAGGGGCGAGUGGAAUUCCUGGUGUAGCGGUGAAAUGCGUUGAGAUCCACAGGAACUCCGGUGGCGAAGGCGGUUCUCUGGGCCUUACCUGACGCUGAGGAGCGAAAGCGUGGGGAGCAAACAG